GACGAACGCUGGCGGCGUGCUUAACACAUGCAAGUCGAGCGGUAAGGCCCUUCGGGUACGACGAGCGGCGAACGGGUGAGUAACACGUGGGUGACCUGCCCUUAGCUCUGGGAUAAGCCUGGGAAACUGGGUCUAAUACCGGAUAUGACCUCAUGACGCAUGUUGUGGGGUGGAAAGCCUUGUGCGGCUAGGGAUGGGCCCGCGGCCUAUCAGCUUGUUGGUGGGGUGAUGGCCUACCAAGGCGACGACGGGUAGCCGGCCUGAGAGGGCGACCGGCCGACACUGGGACUGAGACACGGCCCAGACUCCUACGGGAGGCAGCAGUGGGGAAUCUUGCGCAAUGGGCGAAAGCCUGACGCAGCGACGCCGCGUGAGGGAUGACGGCCU
rnacentral:rRNA from 1 species